AUGAAGGCAGCCAUCGGAUCCCAAGAGAUGGAGAGGGCUGGGGUGGGGGCACACAGGACUGAGGGGGACUCUCCCAACAGCUGGUGGAGUGGGACCAGGGCAAGACGCCUGCACCUGAUGCCCGGGGGUUCUGUUCUCUCCUAUCCCAGGGCAGCCGAGCCUCUAGCCCUCCCUGAUGUGUAGAAGGUUUCACGGCCAGCCCAGGACCACAACCCAGCCCUGCAGCCCCCUGCCCAGCCCUCAAGACAUCCCCAAACCCAGCUCCUGAUGAGUAACAGCAGUCUCCGCACAUUCGAGGACCAAGUCCUCUGUCCCAUUUGCCUGGAUGUGUUCCACAACCCGGUCACCACCGCCUGUGGGCACAACUUCUGCAUGCCCUGCCUCCAAGGUUUCUGGGACCACCAGGCCUCUGUGGGAAAGACCCCCUACUGCCCCCAGUGCCGAGAGAGCUUCCCCUCCAGACCGCGCCUCUGCAAGAACUGCAUCCUGGAGGAGAUGGUGACCUGCUUCACCCAGGCCAAGGGCCAGACCUUGGGGUCCUCCCGGAUCCUGGCGGGGCCCAGGGACGUGCCCUGCGACUUCUGUUCUCCGCAGAAGCUCAAGUCAGUCAAGUCCUGUCUGCAGUGCAUGGCCUCCCUGUGCGAGAAGCACCUGCGCAGCCACUUCGAGGACCAGGAGUUCCAGGACCACCAGCUGCUGGAGCCCGUGUGGGACCUCCAGAGCCGCCUGUGCCGGAAGCACCGCAAGCUGCGGGGGAUGUACUGCCGCACGGAAGGCUGCUGCGUGUGCGGGGCCUGCCUGCUGGAGGAGCACAAGAACCACGACACCCUCCCCCUGGAGGAGGAGCGGGCCCGCAAGGAGGUGGAGGUUCAGAAGGUCCAGGCCAAUGUGGAAAACCAGAUGCUGAUCAUCAACUCUCACAGCCAGAAGCACCGAGGGCAGGUGGCCUUUCUCUCGAAACUGAUCCAGACAACACGUGAGGAGGUGAACACCUGCUUCUCAGAGAUCAUCCAGGAGGUCAGACAGCUGCAGAUGAAGGUCUUGGAUUUUGUGGCGAAAGAGGAGGCCGCUGCUCUGGGGAGGCUAGGCAGCUCCAUCCAGCAGAGCCACAACCGGCUCCUGAAGCUGGAGGAGGACAGCAUCUGGCUCCGCACCCUGCUUACCAACAGGAGUGACCAGCAGUUUCUGCAGGAGUUCCCCAGGCUGAAGCACUUCCCUGCCUACGUGGAACCGCUGAUGGGAACCAACUGUGAGGAGAAGCAGACCUUCCUCCAGUUGCCAGAGACUCUGGCGGAGCUCCGCAGCCAGCUGAUGGAUGUGGGUCUCAGCUUCAUCAAUCAGCUCCUCCUGAAGGGCAUUAAGAUGAACUCCUAUGAGGUGCUGCCCCCGGCUGUGGACAGAAAAACACUUCUCAAGUGUUACUGCAACCUGAACUUUGACCCCACCACGGCCAGCGAGGAGCUGUUCCUGUUCAAGGAGACCCACUCGGUGCUGAACCUGAGCAUCCUGCUGGAGCCCUUCGCCACGGGCGGCUCCUUCCCGGGCUGCAAGCAGUGGUCGCAGGUGCUGUGCUCCCGCGCCCUGUCCGAGGGCCGCCACUACUGGGAGGCCGACGUGUCCAACUCGUGGGUGUGCUUGGGCCUCACCUACCGCCGCAGCCCCCCGCCCGGCGGCCGCUCGCGCCGCAACGUCGUCUAUCUGCUGGGCCGCAACCCCUACUCGUGGUGCCUGGAGUGGGACUCGCUCAAGCUCUCCGUGUGGCACAACAACACGCAGACGGUGCUGCACGGCGGUUACCACCGCACGCUCGGCGUGGCGCUCGACUGCGGCGCCGGCUGCCUCUCCUUCUACUGCGUGGCGGGCGGCGUGAGCCUGCUCUACCGCUUCCUCGUCUCCUUCCUGGAGCCGCUCUACCCAGCGGUCAUGGUCAGCAGCGGCGCCUCGGUCACGCUCAAGCAGCACGCGGAGGCGGAGGCGGAGGCUGGUCCCGGCACCGGGGGCCCAGGGAAGUGUUCCCGAAGGCCCUGUGGCCUGAAUGGGCGGGGCUUGGAGCAGACGGCUUCUCUCCGCCCCUCCCCCGCAGGUGACCCGGCUGAGAGUGGCACCUAA